UACGGGGGGGGCAAGCGUUGUUCGGAAUUACUGGGCGUAAAGGGCUCGUAGGUGGCCAACUAAGUCAGACGUGAAAUCCCCAGGCUCAACUUGGGGAACUGCGUCUGAUACUGGAUGGCUUGAAUUCGGGAGAGGGAUGCAGAAUUCCAGGUGUAGCGGUGAAAUGCGUAGAUAUCUGGAGGAAUACCGGUGGCGAAGGCGGCAUCCUGGACCGAGAUUGACACUGAUGAGCGAAAGCUAGGGGAGCAAAACGGG
rnacentral:rRNA from 1 species